rnacentral:rRNA from 1 species
GAUGAACGCUGGCGGCGUGCCUAAUACAUGCAAGUCGAGCGAACGGACGAGAAGCUUGCUUCUCUGAUGUUAGCGGCGGACGGGUGAGUAACACGUGGAUAACCUACCUAUGAGACUGGGAUAACUUCGGGAAACCUGAGCUAAUACCGGAUAAUAUUUUGAACCGCAUGGUUCAAAAGUGAAAGACGGUCUUGCUGUCACUUAUAGAUGGAUCCGCGCUGCAUUAGCUAGUUGGUAAGGUAACGGCUUACUAAGGCAACGAUGCAUAGCCGACCUGAGAGGGUGAUCGGCCACACUGGAACUGAGACACGGUCCAGACUCCUACGGGAGGCAGCAGUAGGGAAUCUUCCGCAAUGGGCGAAAGCCUGACGGAGCAACGCCGCGUGAGUGAUGAAGGUCUUCGGAUCGUAAAACUCUGUUAUUAGGGAAGAACAUAUGUGUAAGUAACUGUGCACAUCUUGACGGUACCUAAUCAGAAAGCCACGGCUAACUACGUG